ACGCACGCUGGCGGCGUGCUUAACACAUGCAAGUCGCGCGAGGCCCCUCCUUCGGGAGGGUGUCCUAGCGGCGAACGGGUGAGUAACACGUGGGCAACCUGCCCUCAGCUCUGGGAUAACUCCGGGAAACCGGGGCUAAUACCGGAUACGACCUCCACGGGCAUCUGCGGAGGUGGAAAGUUUUUCGGCUGAGGAUGGGCCCGCGGCCUAUCAGCUAGUUGGUGGGGUAGUGGCCCACCAAGGCGACGACGGGUAGCCGGCCUGAGAGGGCGACCGGCCACACUGGGACUGAGACACGGCCCAGACUCCUACGGGAGGCAGCAGUGGGGAAUAUUGCGCAAUGGGCGAAAGCCUGACGCAGCGACGCCGCGUGAGGGACGAAGGCCUUCGGGUUAUAAACCUCUUUCAGCAGGGACGAAGCGAAAGUGACGGUACCUGCAGAAGAAGCACCGGCCAACUACGUG
rnacentral:rRNA from 1 species